CUCCCCUCUCUCUUCAAAAACCAGAUCUGCAACCCUCACAACCCCCUCCGUUUCCAACCAUCACUGAUGGCCUCUCCUUCUAUCUUUUUCAUGUUAUCUGCACUUUCCUUCACACAUGGAUCUGAUCAAUUUUAUAACAGUCGUAUUGUUUGGCUGUUAAAACCCUCUGCCAACCUCAUCUCUCAGGUAUAGUUUCUGGGUUUGAGUUUUUAUUGAUUUGAGAUGGACUUUGAAUUGGGUUUUCCUGAGGAGACCAAUCUUGUAUCUUUCUUAGUACUGCUAAUAUCUACUAAUACUACUGCAUCUAACAAUAUUGAAUCGCUGCAUGAAGUACCACUUGAAAGGAGCUUUCUGUUAGAUUUAUUUGAUCCGAAUCCCAUUUUACAUGAUGGAACUUUCUGUUGUACUUUACUGUAUAUGAAUAUCUCUUUAAAGGUAGUCAUAUGCUUCUUCUUUCUUAUCUUGCUCUUGCUGUUUGCUUCAACAAGGAAUGAAACAAAUAAUAAUAAGCCCAGAAAGCUCUGAAGCUAAAGCAUUAGAGAAGGUGGAGGAUAAGUCCAAAGUUGCCAGGGUAUACCAAAUUUCCUAUGCAAGAUUAAUUGUUCCGUAGUUUUCUUACAGAUAAUAUGUAAUUCAUGCUGUAGUGCUAAAAAUGUUUCUUUGAUGAUUAUUUAGGCAUUGAAGGAAAGUGUUCUCCAUCAAAUAUGUGAGGCAAAGCCAUUGGCUUUGAUCAUUGAUUGGAAUUCACUCAUGCCUAACAAAAAGAAGAGAACUGUGAUGUAUUUCUUUGUAUUUUGCUGCUGAGUUAACUGACUAAUUUUUGUGCAAGCUGAUUUACUUAGCAACUUGGAUAAUUACUGCUUACUCAUUUCCUUUGCAAUUUGGGCUUUUGUUAAUUGUUUUUAUACCCUAUACUAAUAUUUGUGUAUGUUGUUAUUAAUUGCAGGCACAUACUAUACUAGAUUUCCCAACUUUCUUGCUUGUUAGCUCAAUAGAAAAUAGUUGAUUGAGCCUUCAAACAUUUAAAACCAAUUGCAGGUGCUUGGCAGCAAAGGGUGAAGAGUCUGGUGAAUGUGAAAGAUAUUCCAAAUAUUAUCGUUCGCCAUGCCCAGGUGAAUGGGCAAGUAUUUCUUAGCUUAUUUCUUCUACAAUUAUUUGUCUUCCAAUAAAAUCUGAUUGGAAGUUUAACUUCUUCUGUUAAACUUUUUCAUAAAUGUAUUAAAUUGUUGGUACUUUACUCAUACGUAGAUUGUCAUUGCAUAAACUGUGACAUUACUGUGUAAGGAUUGCAUAAUCUGAACUUUAACUUGCAGCAUAGCCCUGGCAAAGUUUGCACCAGAAUCACAGGGCACACUGAAUUUUAAGUUUGGAACUUCUUCUGGAGCUGUAUCUUAGCCUUGAGAACUUUUUAGUUAGAAACUUGUAUGUGAUAACAGUACUAUUGGGAUGGAGUGGGUUAUGUAAUGCUGUGUAGCCUGUGUUGGGUUUGAUUUAUAAUACUCAUAGUGACAUUACUGUAAUCUCUAUGGUACAAUGAAUGAAGUUAUUAAUUUUA